GCAGGCUUAACACAUGCAAGUCGCGGGGCAGCGCGGAGUAGCAAUACCCUGACGGCGACCGGCGAAAGGGUGAGUAACGCGUGAGCAACAUGCCCGUAGAUGGGGGAUAGUCGAUGGAAACGUCGCGUAAUACCCCAUAACAACAGGGUCCGCAUGGUCUUUGUUUAAUAGAUUUAUCGUCUACGGAUUGGCUCGCGUACCAUUAGCUAGUUGGCGGGGUAACGGCCCACCAAGGCGACGAUGGUUAGGGGUUCUGAGAGGAAGGUCCCCCACAUUGGAACUGAGACACGGUCCAGACUCCUACGGGAGGCAGCAGUGAGGAAUAUUGGUCAAUGGCCGAGAGGCUGAACCAGCCAUGCCGCGUGCGGGAGGACGGCCCUAUGGGUUGUAAACCGCUUUUGUUGGGGAGCAAUAAGGUGGACGUGUCCACUGAUGAGAGUACCCAGCGAAUAAGCAUCGGCUAACUCCGUGCCAGCAG
rnacentral:rRNA from 1 species